GACGAACGCUGGCGGCGUGCUUAAGACAUGCAAGUCGUACGAGAAAGUCUCUUCGGAGAUGAGUAAAGUGGCGCACGGGUGAGUAACGCGUGGGUAAUCUGCCCUUAGGUUUGGGAUAACCCCGGGAAACCGGAGCUAAUACCGAAUGAGACCACGACGACCUCGGUCGAUGUGGGAAAAGGUGGCCUCUUCUUGAAAGCUAUCGCCAAAGGAUGAGCCCGCGUUUGAUUAGCUAGUUGGUGAGGUAAUGGCUCACCAAGGCGACGAUCAAUAGAUGGUCUGAGAGGAUGAUCAGCCACACUGGAACUGAGAUACGGUCCAGACUCCUACGGGAGGCAGCAGUCAGGAAUAUUGGGCAAUGGGCGAAAGCCUGACCCAGCAACGCCGCGUGAAGGAUGAAGGCCCUCGGGUCGUAAACUUCUGUCGAGAGGGAAGAAUGUGUACGGGUGAACAAUCCGUGCAUUUGACGGUACCUCCAAAGGAAGCACCGGCUAACUCCGUGCCAGCCGCCGCGGUAA
rnacentral:rRNA from 1 species